UAAAUACUCCCUCCGUUCGGAAUUACUUGUCUCGAAUAUGGAUGUAUCUAGAACUAAAAUACGUCUAGAUACAUCCAUUUCUGCGACAAGUAAUUCCGAACGGAGGGAGUAAAAG
rfam:Triticum aestivum genome assembly, contig: Triticum_aestivum_CS42_TGACv1_scaffold_571248_7AS